UGGGGACUCAUGCGAUACUGCCUACGAUGAGUAGGAGGAAGGUGGGGAUGACGUCAAGUCAUCCUGCCCCUUAUACGCUGGGCUACACACGUGCUACAAUGGGUAGAACAGAGAGUUGCAAAGCCGUGAGGUGAAGCUAAUCUCAGAAAACUAUUCUUAGUUCGGAUUGUACUCUGCAACUCGAGUACAUGAAGUUGGAAUCGCUAGUAAUCGCGAAUCAGCAAUGUCGCGGUGAAUACGUUCUCGGGUCUUGUACACACCGCCCGUCACACCACGAGAGUUGGUUGCACCUGAAGUAGCAGGCCUAACCGUAAGGAGGGAUGCUCCGAGGGUGUGAUUAGCGAUUGGGGUGAAGUCGUAACAAGGUAUCCGUACGGGAACGUGCGGAUGGAUCACCUCCUUUCUAAGGAGAAGAAGUCUUUCUCUAUUCUAUUGGUAAUGUUCUUUACAUUACUUCUGAACAUUGGAAACUAUAUAGUAGAACAAACAAGAAAAAAAUUAACUCUAACAAUUUCUUAGAGUUAGCUGUCAAAAAAUAGAUUAAAAUAAUUAAGGGCACACAAAGGAUGCCUAGGUAGUAAGAGCCGAUGAAGGACGUGGUAAGCUGCGAUAAGCCUAGAUAAGUUGCAAUCGAACGUAAGAGUCUAGGAUUUCCGAAUGGAGCAAUCUAUUAAGAUGGAGUCUUAAUACGAAAGAGGGAACCACGUGAACUGAAACAUCUAAGUAACGUGAGGAAAAGAAAGUAAAAACGAUACCCAAAGUAGCGGCGAGCGAACUGGGUCAAGCCUAAACCUUAAAUAUGUCAAGGAUACAGCCGUUGUAUUUAAGGGGUUGAGGGACAAAGUAGUGAAGAACUGUAAGAUAUUCAAUAUAGUGUAUUGAUGAAUUAGAAUUGUAUGGAAAGAUAAACCGCAGAAGGUGAGAGUCCUGUAUAAGUAAAUCCUUACACAUAUAACUUUGCUCCCAAGUAACAUGGAACACGAGGAAUUCUGUGUGAAUCAGUGAGGACUCAUAUCUCAUAAGGUU
rnacentral:sRNA from 1 species